rnacentral:rRNA from 1 species
AUGAGUGAAGAAGAUAUACCAAAGACAGCUUUUAGAACAUAUUUUGGCCACUAUGAGUUUCUGGUAAUGCUCUUUGGCCUUGCUAAUGCACCUGGGACGUUUCAAGCACUAAUGAACAACAUCUUUGGCCCUUAUCUCACAAAGUUUGUCUUGGUUUUCUUUGACGACAUAUUAAUCUUCAGUAAGUCACUUACUGAACACAUAGCCCACUUGCAAAUAGUGUUGCAGUUACUCAAGGAACAUCAACUCUUUGCAAAAAUGUCAAAAUGUGUGUUUGGAGUGCAACAAGUUGAGUAUUUGGGCCACAUCAUCACUGGAGAGGGUGUUUCCACUGAUCCAGCCAAGGUAGCAGCAGUUGCUGACUGGCCAUUACCUACUACUCCAACACAACUUCGAGGAUUUCUGUGUUUAUGUGGCUAUUACAGAAGAUUUGUCAAAAAAAUUGGAACCAUUGCCAGACCACUGCAUGAUGUACUGAGGAAAGACAGUUUCCAAUGGACACAAACCCAAACCCAGGCAUUUCAGGAUUUAAAACAAGCAAUGGUCAGUGCUCCAGUCCUUGCACUGCCCAACUUCUCUGAACCCUUUACAUUGGAAACAGAUGCUUCUGGAGUAGGAUUGGGAGCAGUAAUGAUGCAGCAAGGUAGGCCUCUAGCUUAUUUCAGUUCCACUCUAUGCCCUACCAAUGUUGCACUGUCAACUUAUGAAAAGGAAGCACUUGCAACCAUUGCUGCCUUAAAGAGGUGGAGACAUUACUUCCUGGGCAAUGACCUCAUAAUCAAGACAGAUCACCAGAGCUUGCAGUAUAUGACUGACCAGAAAGUCACCACUGGAAUUCAAGACAAGUUAAUGCUUAAGUUGCUAGAGUUCAAUUUCACUCUGCAGUACAAGAAAGGGAAAGAAAAUGUUGUUGCUGAUGCUCUUUCCAGGAAGAACACCCUUAUGGCCAUGUCCUUGGUCACUCCCCAGUGGAUAUCAGCAGUAGAAGCUUCAUACACUAAUGACAGUACUUGCCAAUCACUCAUGGAAAAACUACUGUUGGCUCCUGAUCACACCUUCCAUCAGAACACUCUGCAUUCAGGGGUCAUAAGGCACAAAGGGAAGAUUUAUGUGGGUAAAGAUCAAGUACUUAGGGACAAGCUACUUACUGCACUCCAUGCUUCUGCAUUAGGGGGCCAUUCGGGCAUGAAAGCAACUUAUCAUCGCAUCAAACUGAUUUUCUAUUGGCCAGGCCUUAAACAGGAUGUGGAUCAAUUUGUAGCUGCAUGCCCUAUUUGUCAGAAAAACAAAGGGGAAAACUGCUCAUACCCAGGCUAUCUUGACCCACUACAAAUCCCUGAUAUGGUCUGGACUCAUCUGAGCAUGGAUUUCAUCGAGGGCUUGCCCAAAUCCAAUGGAAAAGAUGCCAUUAUGGUUGUGGUGGACAGACUGUCCAAGUUUGCCCACUUUAUUCCCCUUUCACACCCAUUCACAGUUCACACAGUUGUUCAGGCCUUUGUGGAUAAUGUGCUGAAGUUGCACGGCCCUCCACUGGCAAUAGUGUCUGAUCGGAACCCUAUCUUCACCAGUCAAAUGUGGCAAGAUAUCUUCAAAGGAAUGGGAACAGACUUGCGCUACAGUUCAGCAUAUCAUCCUGAAUCUGACGGCCAAACGGAGCGCGUCAACCAGUGCAUCGAGAACUAUCUACGCUGCCUCACUUCUACAAAACCCAAGCAAUGGGCCAAACACUUGUCUAUGGCUGAAUAUUAG